rnacentral:tRNA from 1 species
GCAAGGGUAGCAAAGCCUGGUCAAAUGNNUACGACUCCGAGUCGGAACGCGGGCGAUGUGCGUUCGCAAGUUCAAAUCUUGCCCCUUGCA